UACGUAGGGGGCGAGCGUUGUCCGGAAUCAUUGGGCGUAAAGCGCGCGUAGGUGGCUUCAUAAGUCCGUUGUGAAAGUCAAAGGCUCAACCUUUGAAAGCCGAUGGAUACUGUGAAGCUAGAGUACGGAAGAGGCGAGUGGAAUUCCUGGUGUAGCGGUGGAAUGCGCAGAUAUCAGGAGGAACACCAAUAGCGAAGGCAGCUCGCUGGGACGUUACUGACACUAAGGCGCGAAAGCGUGGGGAGCGAACAGG
rnacentral:rRNA from 1 species